CUCGUGGCAACGGCAUAGUAUCUCGUGCGCCAGAGAUAAAUAAAAAUGCACAAAUGUCACCUCUGUGCAACCUCAGAUAACCGAUCCAAGGACUUUGCCAUAAAUGAAAUUAAAUUCAAAGAUUUAAGAAAAUUAAGAUUAAUCAUGUAAUGUAAGACAACAUAUUAAAGUAUUAUUCAUUAAAUAGCCAGUAAUUCAUAACACAAUUUAAUGUAUGAACGUGUAGAACCUGUUUGAGGGCGUAUAUAGGAAUGUUUUCAAUAAUCCUUUAAAUUGUCAUGCAAUAUGGCCCGUAAGUCUCGUUUACUUUCACUUUCUAUUUACCACUUCCGGAUACAUCGGCAGACUUAUUUACCGUUACGCAUAUAGGUAACCCCGCAGAACUCGAGAAAUAUAGAAGUUAAAUUUGUUUCGGUCCUCUUCAGAUUUGAAGGAAUGGAAAACACGGGUCAAAAAAUGCAGGUAAGUCAAUUAUCUGACGGAAAACCGAGGAAUUUAUAAAGUUUAAUAAAACCAGUUUAUUUUCGGAUACUGACAAUUGUUUCGGAUGUUUUGUCAUGGUAGUGAAUUCUAGUUGUUUAGCUUUUAGUAUUAUUUUAAAACUACAAUUGUGAGAAAGUUAUUCCAUCCAUUUUAACUUAUUGAAAUAAACAAUGGAGAAACACUUUAAUUCUAGUGUAUUUUAAAGUUAUACAAAAUUCGGACAUUGCACAGUAAUUCGGAUAUUUCUUCCCUUCCAUUCUAUUAAGAUUUCAAUUACAUACAUUAGUAUAAUAAACCCCAGGUCCCAAGUAAAAGUUUUGAUAAUUAAAUAAUUAGAUGGAUAGAUCAUAGAUUUAUGCAAAGUUUAAUAGUAUUGUUACAUUUCUUACUAUGGGGAAUAGUAUCAAGGUACUUACACUUAUAUUCUCUUCCUGUUUCAAUUAUAUAUACUUGUUAAUAUGGUACCUAGCAAAUUAUGAUUGAAAAUUAAAAAAAAUAUCAUUUUUGAAUAAACCAUUUCAGAUGUGUAGACAGGGAGGUAUAUGACAAGUAUAGAAUAUAUAAAUGUUCACUAUGAACCAUAAAUCAACUGUUUGCACUGCCUAUGAUCCUGAAAUAUCUAUACAUCAAUGGAAAACAAUGAAGGAGAAUUUGCCCAUGAAGACCUUUAUUGCAACUAACAUCUUCCUGUUCUUAAUUUGAGAAUGAUAUUAGAGAACACACAGUUAUAGUGAAAUAUUAGUUUAAUAUAAGCCACUGAGAAUAGUCAAAUGUACUUUCCUGAAGAAGAUGAAUGACAUCCAGCACAAAAAUAUUAAUGUGACAGAGUAUGAUUUUAUGGUGUUUGACACUAUGAUACCAUAAUCUACUUAACUUGUUAAUGUCACAUUGAUAGAAACAGAGUGAAAUAUUCACAUUUCAUUGCAGUUUUAAGUAUUGAAGCAAGAUACUCUAUAAAUACCAAAGUAGAAAACACACCAGAUAUAAAGAUUUUCAUGGAAUCACAGUGACAGUAAAUGACUAUGAUGUAAAAAUGAAAAAGAAAUAGAAAAAAUGUUAUAUAUCAGCUACUACUUAUAUUGUGAGGUAAUCAUUGAUAAGCUCACAAAUUUGCAUUCAAAGCUUUGAUAUCAAGCUGACAAUUUUUCAAUUAGAAUAUGAUUUAUAACUCUAUGAUAAUUUGUUCAAUUAAAUUUUCAAAUUCUUUACAUUUGUAAAAGGAAAUAUUCUUAUUCUUGUAUCAGUAGACAUUUAUGGUUUAAAGUUCCAUUGUCCAAAUAAAUAAUAAUAAUUUCAAGUGCUUUCCUGAAGUUUUUCUUCCACUGGAAAAUCAGUGUGAUAUAUUUGCAAAGCAGUGCACUAUAAAUUGUGUAAAAAUAAGAGUUUUCAAACAUAUGAACUUAUUUUUUUUGUUUCUACUAUUUGGCAUAUAUUUAUAGCAGUGCUUGAUCAUAAGGGUUCAUCUGCAAAAUAAGUGCCACUGUGUACUUAAAUUAUCUAACAGAAAUGGCUAGAUUGCUUGAAUAUGCAAGCAUUGACUACAGUAAAUACUAUGCAUGUCAUUUUGUCUGUCAUGAAAUGGAAACAGACACUAUCUAAAUAAUAUUGAUGAAAAGUUCUUGACAGCUCUUCAAUGACUACAUUUACACAUAUGUACAUGGACAGAAGUUAAAAGAAUUGUGUGGGUUUUUUUUGAAACAUUGACAAUGUUGAAACAGUCCACAUUGGUAUAUUAAUGUACCAGUGAUGUACUUGUUUUGUAUCAAGUGCAAACUCUAAGUUUUGCAUGUUUUGUACAGAUAAUUCACUUUUGGCCAAAUGUCAACAGGUUCAAUACAUUAUAAAACAGGUAAUUUGAAACACAAAGAAGUAUAUGGUAUGUAAAUAACUGCCCCUCUUUCAAGGAAUGCAGAAUUGCAAGUCUUCUCCAAUUUUGUGAUAAAGAGACAGACUUGGGCUUUCUAGCAAACUAGUGUUUUGCUACAGAAUACUCAACGCAGAUGAAUUACAUUAAUAUUGUUUACUUUGGUAUUACUACCUGCCAUGUACAAUGCAAAUCAUGGCUUUUCUAAGAGCAGUGAAAGGCUAUAACUGGAAGUAAUUUUACUCAUCUUGCCUCAGAAACAAAUUUUUCUUUGAGAUGAUUUUUAUAAUAUUUAAUAAUGGUUAUAGAUUACAUUACUUUACAAUGGCAGUGAUCAUGGUGAUAGUAUGAAAUGAAACUCAAUCAAGAUAGCAACAUUUUAAUGCAGAACAUCUUUUUACCAUUCAUGUCACCUUACAAGUCUAUUUAUAAUAAAUUUAUCUUAACUGUU